GCCCCCGUAUCCCAACCGGUAGAGGAAGUCGCCUUAAAAGCGACCCAGUCUGGGUUCGAACCCCAGCGGGGGCACCA
rnacentral:tRNA from 1 species